CCUACGGGAGGCAGCAGUGGGGGAUAUUGCACAAUGGGGGGAACCCUGAUGCAGCGACGCCGCGUGGGUGAAGGAGCGUUUCGGCGCGUAAAGCCCUAUCGGCAGGGAAGAAGAAGGACGGUACCUGACUAAGAAGCCCCGGCUAACUACGUGCCAGCAGCCGCGGUAAUACGUAGGGGGCAAGCGUUAUCCGGAUUUACUGGGUGUAAAGGGGGCGCAGACGGCAGCGCAAGCUCGGAGUGAAAGCCCGGGGACCAACCCCGGGACUGCUCUUGGAACUGCGCGGCGGGAGUGCAGGAGGGGCAGGCGGAAUUCCUGGUGUAGCGGUGAAAUGCGUAGAUAUCAGGAGGAACACCGGUGGCGAAGGCGGCCUGCUGGACUGCGACUGACGUUGAGGCCCGAAAGCGUGGGGAGCAAACAGGAUUAGAUACCCCGGUAGUC
rnacentral:rRNA from 1 species